UGGGGAAUUUUGGACAAUGGGCGAAAGCCUGAUCCAGCCAUGCCGCGUGAGUGAAGAAGGCCUUCGGGUUGUAAAGCUCUUUUAGUCGGAAAGAAAGAGUUGCAAUGAAUAAUUGUGAUUUAUGACGGUACCGACAGAAAAAGCACCGGCUAACUACGUGCCAGCAGCCGCGGUAAUACGUAGGGUGCGAGCGUUAAUCGGAAUUACUGGGCGUAAAGGGUGCGCAGGCGGUCUUGCAAGUCAGAUGUGAAAGCCCCGGGCUUAACCUGGGAAUUGCGUUUGAAACUACAAGGCUAGAGUGCAGCAGAGGGGAGUGGAAUUCCAUGUGUAGCAGUGAAAUGCGUAGAGAUGUGGAAGAACACCGAUGGCGAAGGCAGCUCCCUGGGUUGAAACUGACGCUCAUGCACGAAAGCGUGGGGAGCAAACA
rnacentral:rRNA from 1 species